rnacentral:rRNA from 1 species
GACGAACGCUGGCGGCGUGCCUAACACAUGCAAGUCGAGCGAAUGAAGUUCCUUCGGGAAUGGAUUUAGCGGCGGACGAGUGAGUAACACGUGGGCAACCUGCCUCAUAGAGGGGAAUAGCCUUCCGAAAGGGAGAUUAAUACCGCAUAAGAUUGUAGUACCGCAUGAUACAGCAAUUAAAGGAGCAAUCCGCUAUGAGAUGGGCCCGCGGCGCAUUAGCUAGUUGGUGAGGUAACGGCUCACCAAGGCGACGAUGCGUAGCCGACCUGAGAGGGUGAUCGGCCACAUUGGGACUGAGACACGGCCCAGACUCCUACGGGAGGCAGCAGUGGGGAAGAUUGCACAAUGGGGGAAACCCUGAUGCAGCAACGCCGCGUGAGUGAUGACGGCCUUCGGGUUGUAAAGCUCUGUCUUCAGGGACGAUAAUGACGGUACCUGAGGAGGAAGCCACGGCUAACUACGUGCCAGCAGCCGCGGUAA